UCGAGAAUCUUUCACAAUGGGGGAAACCCUGAUGGAGCGACGCCGCGUGGAGGAUGACGGCCUUCGGGUUGUAAACUCCUGUCAUGCGGGAGCAAGGUGCGCGUGUUUACUGCACGCGUAUUGAUAGUACCGCAAGAGGAAGAGACGGCUAACUCUGUGCCAGCAGCCGCGGUAAUACAGAGGUCUCAAGCGUUGUUCGGAUUCAUUGGGCGUAAAGGGUGCGUAGGCGGCGCCGUAAGUCAGAUGUGAAAUCUCCGGGCUCAACCCGGAAACUGCAUCCGAUACUGCGGUGCUCGAGGACUGGAGAGGAGACUGGAAUUCACGGUGUAGCAGUGAAAUGCGUAGAUAUCGUGAGGAAGACCGGUGGCGAAGGCGGGUCUCUGGACAGUUCCUGACGCUGAGGCACGAAGGCCAGGGGAGCGAACGGGAUUAGAUACCCCCGUAGUCC
rnacentral:rRNA from 1 species